AUGAUCUCCUACUCUUCUGGUCUACGAAGCCUUUGCAUAUCCUGGUGUGGGACCCCGUCACCGGCGACCUGCACUGCAUUGCCGUCCCCCCCGGAUUUCGUGAGGACACACGGGAUGGUGCUUCGCAUUGCCGAAGAGGCUCAACACUUCCAGGUGGAUAAGGACGACGAGCAACACACACGAGCGCUCGUCUGUGUUUACUCCUCAAAGACCGGCUUAUGGGGAGAUCUUAUCUCAACACUGCUUCCAUACCACGCUCAUAGGAGCAGUUAUUCCACCUUGCUUUAUGAGCCUGCCGCUGUGCUGGCUGGAGAUUCCCUUUAUUGGAUGUUUUCUGGGAAUGUUGAUGGAAUUCUUGAGUUUGAUUUGGAGAAGCAGAGCCUAGCUGUGAUAUGA
rnacentral:rRNA from 1 species